rnacentral:rRNA from 1 species
AACGAACGCUGGCGGCAUGCCUAACACAUGCAAGUCGAACGAGCCCUUCGGGUCUAUUGGCGCACGGCUGCGUAACCCGUGGGGACCUUCACUUAUGUUCGGCAUAACUACCCGACAGGGGUGCUAAUACCGGAUAAUGUCUUCGAACCAAAGAUUUAUCGCCUUUGGAUGGUCCCGCGUUGGAUUAGCUUGUUGGUAGGGUAAAAGCCUACCAAGGCGAGGAUCGAUAACUUGGAAGAGAGAAUGAUUAGCCACUCUGGGACUGAGAAACGGCCCAGACUCCUACGGGAUGCAGGAGUGGGGAAUAGUGGAACGUGGGCGAAAGGCUGAUCGACUUAGGACGGGUGAGCGAUGAAGGUCUGAGGGUAGUAAAGCGCUUGUACCCGUGAUGAUCAUGACAGUACCGGGAGAAUAAGCUACGGCUAACUCCGUG